UGGCCUUAGAUGUCCCAGGAUAGGGUUGGA
rnacentral:piRNA from 1 species